rnacentral:rRNA from 1 species
AACGAACGCUGGCGGCAGGCCUAACACAUGCAAGUCGAGCGCACCCUCCGGGGUCAGCGGCGGACGGGGUUGUAACGCGUGGGAACGUUCCCUUGUCUACGGCAUACCUUCAGGAAACUGAGAGUAAUGCCGCAUACGCGCUUUGGGGGGAAGAUUUAUCGAACAAGGAUCGGCCCGCGUUGGAUUAGGUAGUUGGUUGGGUAAUGGCCCAUCACGCCGACGAUGCAUAGCUGGUUUGAGAGGAGGAUCAGCCACACUGGGACUGAGACACGGCCGAGAAUCCUACGGGAGGCAGGAGUGCGGAAUCUUAGAAAAUGGCGGCAACCAUGAAGGAGCCCUGACGCGUGAGCGAUGAAGGCCUUAGGGUUGUAAAGCUCUUUCAGCUGGGAAGAUAAUGACGGUACCAGCAGAAGAAGCCCCGGCUAACUACGUG